GGUUAAGCGACUAAGCGUACACGGUGGAUGCCCUGGCAGUCAGAGGCGAUGAAGGACGUGCUAAUCUGCGAAAAGCGUCGGUAAGGUGAUAUGAACCGUUAUAACCGGCGAUGUCCGAAUGGGGAAACCCAGUGUGAUUCGUCACACUAUCGUUAACUGAAUACAUAGGUUAACGAGGCGAACCGGGGGAACUGAAACAUCUAAGUACCCCGAGGAAAAGAAAUCAACCGAGAUUCCCCCAGUAGCGGCGAGCGAACGGGGAGCAGCCCAGAGUCUGAAUCAGCUUGUGUGUUAGUGGAACGGUCUGGAAAGUCCGACGGUACAGGGUGAUAGUCCCGUACACCAAAAUGCACAGGUUGUGAACUCGAAGAGUAGGGCGGGACACGUGGUAUCCUGUCUGAAUAUGGGGGGACCAUCCUCCAAGGCUAAAUACUCCUGACUGACCGAUAGUGAACCAGUACCGUGAGGGAAAGGCGAAAAGAACCCCGGCGAGGGGAGUGAAAAAGAACCUGAAACCGUGUACGUACAAGCAGUGGGAGCACCUUCGGGUGUGACUGCGUACCUUUUGUAUAAUGGGUCAGCGACUUAUAUUCUGUAGCAAGGUUAACCGUAUAGGGGAGCCGCAGGGAAACCGAGUCUUAACUGGGCGUUAAGUUGCAGGGUAUAGACCCGAAACCCGGUGAUCUAGCCAUGGGCAGGUUGAAGGUUGGGUAACACUAACUGGAGGACCGAACCGACUAAUGUUGAAAAAUUAGCGGAUGACUUGUGGCUGGGGGUGAAAGGCCAAUCAAACCGGGAGAUAGCUGGUUCUCCCCGAAAGCUAUUUAGGUAGCGCCUCGUGAACUCAUCUUCGGGGGUAGAGCACUGUUUCGGCUAGGGGGUCAUCCCGACUUACCAACCCGAUGCAAACUACGAAUACCGAAGAAUGUUAUCACGGGAGACACACGGCGGGUGCUAACGUCCGUCGUGAAGAGGGAAACAACCCAGACCGCCAGCUAAGGUCCCAAAGUCAUGGUUAAGUGGGAAACGAUGUGGGAAGGCACAGACAGCCAGGAUGUUGGCUUAGAAGCAGCCAUCAUUUAAAGAAAGCGUAAUAGCUCACUGGUCGAGUCGGCCUGCGCGGAAGAUGUAACGGGGCUAAACCAUGCACCGAAGCUGCGGCAGCGACACUAUGUGUUGUUGGGUAGGGGAGCGUUCUGUAAGCCUGCGAAGGUGUGCUGUGAGGCAUGCUGGAGGUAUCAGAAGUGCGAAUGCUGACAUAAGUAACGAUAAAGCGGGUGAAAAGCCCGCUCGCCGGAAGACCAAGGGUUCCUGUCCAACGUUAAUCGGGGCAGGGUGAGUCGACCCCUAAGGCGAGGCCGAAAGGCGUAGUCGAUGGGAAACAGGUUAAUAUUCCUGUACUUGGUGUUACUGCGAAGGGGGGACGGAGAAGGCUAUGUUAGCCGGGCGACGGUUGUCCCGGUUUAAGCAUGUAGGCUGAUUGUCCAGGCAAAUCCGGAUAAUCAAGGCUGAGGUGUGAUGACGAGGCACUACGGUGCUGAAGUAACAAAUGCCCUGCUUCCAGGAAAAGCCUCUAAGCAUCAGGUAACAUCAAAUCGUACCCCAAACCGACACAGGUGGUCAGGUAGAGAAUACCAAGGCGCUUGAGAGAACUCGGGUGAAGGAACUAGGCAAAAUGGUGCCGUAACUUCGGGAGAAGGCACGCUGGUGUGUAGGUGAAGCCCCUGCGGGUGGAGCUGAGACCAGUCGAAGAUACCAGCUGGCUGCAACUGUUUAUUAAAAACACAGCACUGUGCAAACACGAAAGUGGACGUAUACGGUGUGACGCCUGCCCGGUGCCGGAAGGUUAAUUGAUGGGGUUAUCCGUAAGGAGAAGCUCUUGAUCGAAGCCCCGGUAAACGGCGGCCGUAACUAUAACGGUCCUAAGGUAGCGAAAUUCCUUGUCGGGUAAGUUCCGACCUGCACGAAUGGCGUAAUGAUGGCCAGGCUGUCUCCACCCGAGACUCAGUGAAAUUGAACUCGCUGUGAAGAUGCAGUGUACCCGCGGCAAGACGGAAAGACCCCGUGAACCUUUACUAUAGCUUGACACUGAACAUUGAGCCUUGAUGUGUAGGAUAGGUGGGAGGCUUUGAAGCGUGGACGCCAGUCUGCGUGGAGCCAACCUUGAAAUACCACCCUUUAAUGUUUGAUGUUCUAACGUUGGCCCCUUACCGGGGUUGCGGACAGUGUCUGGUGGGUAGUUUGACUGGGGCGGUCUCCUCCCAAAGCGUAACGGAGGAGCACGAAGGUUAGCUAAUCCUGGUCGGACAUCAGGAGGUUAGUGCAAUGGCAUAAGCUAGCUUGACUGCGAGCGUGACGGCGCGAGCAGGUGCGAAAGCAGGUCAUAGUGAUCCGGUGGUUCUGAAUGGAAGGGCCAUCGCUCAACGGAUAAAAGGUACUCCGGGGAUAACAGGCUGAUACCGCCCAAGAGUUCAUAUCGACGGCGGUGUUUGGCACCUCGAUGUCGGCUCAUCACAUCCUGGGGCUGAAGUAGGUCCCAAGGGUAUGGCUGUUCGCCAUUUAAAGUGGUACGCGAGCUGGGUUUAGAACGUCGUGAGACAGUUCGGUCCCUAUCUGCCGUGGGCGCUGGAGAAUUGAGGGGGGCUGCUCCUAGUACGAGAGGACCGGAGUGGACGCAUCACUGGUGUUCGGGUUGUCAUGCCAAUGGCACUGCCCGGUAGCUAAAUGCGGAAGAGAUAAGUGCUGAAAGCAUCUAAGCACGAAACUUGCCCCGAGAUGAGUUCUCCCUGAGACUUUAAGUCUCCUGAAGGAACGUUAAAGACGAUGACGUUGAUAGGCCGGGUGUGUAAGCGCAGCGAUGCGUUGAGCUAACCGGUACUAAUGAACCGUGAGGCUUAACCUU
rnacentral:rRNA from 1 species